rnacentral:rRNA from 1 species
GAUGAACGCUGGCGGCGUGCCUAAUACAUGCAAGUCGAGCGAAUGGAUUAAGAGCUUGCUCUUAUGAAGUUAGCGGCGGACGGGUGAGUAACACGUGGGUAACCUGCCCAUAAGACUGGGAUAACUCCGGGAAACCGGGGCUAAUACCGGAUAACAUUUUGAACCGCAUGGUUCGAAAUUGAAAGGCGGCUUCGGCUGUCACUUAUGGAUGGACCCGCGCCGCAUUAGCUAGUUGGUGAGGUAACGGCUCACCAAGGCAACGAUGCGUAGCCGACCUGAGAGGGUGAUCGGCAACACUGGGACUGGGACACGGCCCAGACUCAUACGGGAGGCAGCAGUAGGGAAUCUUCCGCAAUGGACGAAAGUCUGACGGAGCAACGCCGCGUGAGUGAUGAAGGCUUUCGGGUCGUAAAACUCUGUUGUUAGGGAAGAACAAGUGCUAGUUGAAUAAGCUGGCACCUUGACGGUACCUAACCAGAAAGCCACGGCUAACUACGUGCCAGCAGCCGCGGUAA